rnacentral:lncRNA from 1 species
CUUCAGGGCCACUGUGAGCCUCUGCCCUGGGCAGCUUUCACUAUGCAGAGAAAAUUUCUUUUCUGCCUCUCAUAAACCUAUACUUUAACUGCCUUUUCUGCAUGUCUUGUCCAAUUCUUUGUUCAAGACAUCAACAACCUGGAAAGAAACCUUGUAGGACCAGUUGCAGAGCCAGAAAAAGUGCCCACGGGAAUGCAGACACUGUCACUGCUUUGGAGGCUGGAUAUGCAGCCUAAGGAAAUUAGUGCUUAACAAGAGCCGGGCUCUGCUGGCUUUGCAACUCUUGCCUGGAGGCUGUGGCUGCACCAGGGGCCAAAGCAGUCAGAGAGGCGGGCCUGGCAGAGGCUGUGGUCACCUCUAAGAUUGCUGAGCCUCAGAAGUCCUCAAGGCACACACAGUCAGUAAUAGUCUAGGCUCUAAGAGCCAGAGGAAAGGGGGGGGUGUUUGCAUUUUCCUCAUCUCCACAGCUGCCUCCAGCUGAAGGCCCCUGUAAGUAACCUGAGCUUUUUGACUUUUAGGUUCCUUUCUGUUUCCCAGUUAGAAGGCCUUCAGGUCUGUCUGCUGCAGGGCCCUCUGUACUGGGAAGGAGACUGUGGGGCAGGGACUCGACCUUUGGGCUUCCGGCCUGUCAGAUCCUGAGCCCAGAAAACUGCUUUGCAGAGCUAUUGUGCUGGCCCUGGAGAGAGGUGGCCUCUAGAGGAAUGCUGUGUGGCAACUUCCCACACAAUGCUCCUGACUUCACAGUACCCCUUGGCUAGGGAAAGGACCCGAAGCCUGCUUUCAUGAGGCUGUGGAGAACCCUAAGAAGCUGGUGGGACUUCUUACACUCUGAGUCCCUUCUCCAGAGAAUUUGGGAGGAGCAGUGCUUUUCUAAAACUUGCCUUCCUAGAACUCAACCUCCUCCCUUGCCCCCCACCCCCCAGCAAUGUUCCAGAAUCUGGGAACAGGGCACAGAGCAAAAGAAAGAUGCCUAUUUUUGCAGAAUUUAUAUUUUAACGAGAAGCCAGAAAGUAAGCAGAAUAAAUGUGUGAGAUCUGCUGUGGAGAAAAAUGAAACAGAGAACAGCAUGAGGGAUGGUGGGGCUGGUGUGCUUCUCCCAGACAGCGUGGCCUCGCUGACAGGCCACAUCUGAGCCUGAUGGAGUAGAGAAUCAGAGCUGAGGGUGAGCUGGGGCUGAACAUCCUGGGUUUCUGCUGGUGACAGCGGAGGGCAUAACCCCUAAUGGCCCCAGGGCUUGGAGCUCCUGCCUCUACACUGACUUCUGCCCUGAGAAGAGGCUGGUGCCAUAGAGGGGAGUCGGAGGGGCCUUGUCCUGCUGUGAAGAAAGUUCCAGAGUCCUGGCCUGUACUCCCUGGUUGCUGGAAGAAGAUAACUCUUGGGAAGUUUAGAAAUCGUCUCCCAGACAUGUAACAAGGAGUUGCUGAGCUGGUGGUGCUGAGUCUUCUUUGCCAUGGAUUUCACCUUCAGAUAUGGUUUUGUUUUAUAGGCUGGCCUAAAACUGGAUAUCCUCUUGCCUCAGCCUCUGGAGUGCAAAGAUUACCAGCAUACAGUGCCAUGCUUGCUGUAACCUCCAUAGAUUUCAAGGGUAUGAAAGGUCCUGAGACUACACUGUUGGAACGACUGCAUCACACCACUCUGCGCUCCCAGAGGUAGACAGGAGGGAGAAGCAUCUUUCCACUUUAUCCACGUUACCCAUUGUUGUUACUGAUUUAUUUUUAAAUCCAACUUGGCUUCUCCCCUGAAAACUGUUGAGAAGUAAAGAAAACUGACCAUAGCUUCCUGAAGUCAAAGCACCUAAAACAAAGAGAAGGCCAUGGAAGUGAGUAAGGGGCUUCUCCAAGACUGCAAGGUCACCCAAGGUCCCUACCGUCCAUGCUGCUGAGAAGCUGCCAGUUUCUUCUUUGCUUGGUUGGUCUCACAACCAACCACCCACUCCCACCCACUAUACCUCAACACCCAACCUGGAGAGGUGUUGUUCUCUGGGUCCUGAAAACACUAAGGGAAGCUGGGAGUAGGGGGCACAUGCCUGUAAUCCCACCACUUGGGAGGCUGAGGCAGGAAGAUGGUGAGUUCCAGGCCUGGAUUGCAUAGAAAGACUAUGUCUCAAAACACACACACACACACACACAUGGGGACUCACUACGGCUUUGGACUGACCCACCCCCGACCUCUCUGGGAUGAUGGCGCAGGGAAGAGCACCCUCAGUCUGUGGUACACUAGCCCCUGUUCUUGGGUUGGGGCUCAGAUGAAAAGCGAAGGUCACUUUUCUAGGCCUGAAGAGGAAAUGUAAAUCUCUCCCAGCCCACGUGGCAGAAGCUGCCAGAAGGCCAUUGCCCUGUUAGUAAACAGGGCUGCCUGGGCCAUCUUUCUCUUUUGUAAUAACCUGCAGGGCACCUAUUGAUUGCACGUGCUGGUCCCUCAUAAGUGAGGACAGGGCUGUCUUCCGGUUGCUCUGGAGCUGUGAGGGUGCCUAAAUUGGCUGACUAAUACUGCAUGCUCAUGGAGCACAGUGUCCUGUGCCACCUAAACAUGAAGAAUAUGUAUCAUCAGGCGCCGUGAGAGUGCAGGCCCCAACUCCAGCGGCUUCAAGGCUUCCGGGCGUGCUGCAGACUGCAAUUAGGCAGUUUGCUUGCCUCCUCCCGAGAGGAAAGAACACUGAUGUGGCUCCUGCUGCAGCCUGAGCUACUUUAAGAUGGAGGGAGCGGCAGGUCUUGGAGGGUGGGCAAUGGGCCAGCUCCUCACCUCAGCUACCCCCUCAGCAGGAAUGGCAGCCAGCAAAUAGAAACCAACCCACAUCUUUUAGCCUGUGGUGGACAGAGUUAUGACUCAAAAGACACGUUCAAAACCCCCACUUCGGCCACUUUUGGCUGUGUGAUAUUAGUGGCUUAACCUCUCUGAGCCUCAGCAUCUCAUCUGGAAAGUUGAGAAAAUAAUAUUUCCUUAAUUGUUCAUGUGGUUAGGCCUGCCUGGAACCCAGUAUCCUCUCAUAAAUACCGGCACUGAGUCAAAAGCAGCUGAACACAGCAGUAGGUACCGGACUGAAACUACUUUUCCUUUCCACCCCUGAAAUCUGGCACCAGGAACUUUUCAGUGCUAUUGCCAGGCAAUGCCUUGCUAUCUAAGAAGUGAGGCCAGGAAACUCCUGGCUUGAUAAAUUGGAAUUAUCUCUCCCAUCCCUUUCAUCUUUCUGUGCCCCUCCUGACCUAGCUUCUGAAUUUAACAUUGAUUCCACAGGGAAUGUCACUAAAAUGUAUCGUGAACACAGAGAAGCAUGGCACCAUAGCUUACCCUUCUAAAAGAAAACCUUGGCACCCGCAGGCCCACCCUGGGCAGAGCCUUCAGAGCGUCUCUAACUCUGGCCCUGGACAAUGGGCUCUAUGAGUAGCACUGUCCUUGCAGCUCACUUGUGGCUCCUUUGUUGAUGUUGCCACAAUCAAAGCCGAUGAAAGGACGGUGUGAAGAGCCAUAUUUCCAUAUUUUCCUCCUGGUCCUGGAAAUGACAUCUACUGCCUUGGGACGGAGGGUACAGUGGGUGAAUGGUGCCCCCCAAAUAUAUGAUCACACGGGGACCCUGUGAGUGUGAUCUUCUUUGGGCAAAGGGUCUUUACAGAUGUGAUUAAAUCAGCAUCUUGAGCUGCCAUUGUUCUAAAUUACCUGGGGUGGGCAGGCGGCGUAAAUGGAGUGACAAGGGUCCCUUGAGACAGAAGAGGGACUGGCACAGAGAGAAGCUCAGGAGAAGAUGAUGGAGAUGCAGCCUGGAGUGAAGCAGCCCCAGUCAAGGCUUCCUGGGCCAUCAGGAGCGGGGGGGGGGGGGCAGAGGAAGACUGUCUGGAGAGCCUUUGGAAGGAGGGAGUGUGGCCCUGCUGACACCUGGGUUUGGGACUCUGGCUUCUACAAUUGGGAGAGGAUGAAUUUCUAUUACUUUAGGCUACUGCUGAGGCUUAGAUACGGUUUUUCUCCAAAAGCUCAUGUGCCCGAGACUUGGUCCCUGAUGUCCUGGUAUUGAGGUGUUGAUGACUUUCAGAAGGGUGAUUAGCCAGGGGCAGCACCCUCAGAAAGACCGGCUUGGUUACCCUCAUAGGGGAUUGAUAAAAACGAAUGUGGCUUUCUUUUUUGUUGUUGUUUUUUUGAGACAGGAACUCACUAUGUAGUUCAGGCUGGUCUAGACUCACUAUGUAGCCCAUGCUGGCUUCAAACUCAUGGCAAUCCUCCUGCCUCAGCCUCCUGAGUGCUGGCAUUACGGGGAUGCACCACUAUGCCUGGCUUCUUCUCUCAGCAUAUGACCUCUCCUGCCUGUGCUGCUGCCCUGUGAUGCCAUCUGCCCAGAAGCUGAGGCUACACAAUGCCACACACUUGGACCUCCAGAACUGUAAGCUAAAUAAACCUCCUUAUUUUCUUUAUGAAGGAAGGUAUCUUAUGAUACGAACAAGGUAUCUUGUUAUAGCAACACACAGUGGACUGAGAGCCACCAAGCUUGUGGUCGUCUGUGAUGGCGGCUCUACUCCAGCAUGCUCCUGGGGUGGGACACAGCUCAAGGUCAUCUUCCACGGGUGAUGUUUUCCCUGUCUGUGGCAGGACUUACCUGAACAACAGCCUCAGCUGGCCUGGCCUGCAAUCCAGGAGCCGCAGACAACCAGAUAGGAGUGUGGCUGAGGAUCUGCCUGGGACAGAGCCUUCUGAAAUGCUGGAAACAGGCUCCAUCUUAGAACUAGACAGACUGAUGUUGAAAUCCCAACACUGACUGACUCUGAGGCCUCUCUGCCUUUCAAGUCCCUCAUCAAUAAAGCGAGGAAAUAAUGUUUACCUUGUAGGCAAGAGCAGGUCCAGCAUCCAAAGCUUACAGAAUUUGGGUGACACUUUAAAAGAGAAAGAAUACAACGAUUUAAAUCCAAAGUUAGGGAAGGAGUCUUGGGAGGCCCUGUAUAAGUUCGGGCCCCUGAGGUGUAAGUCAGGCCCACUCUGUUCAUUGGUGCUCAGAGAAUCACAGGUGAAAACAGGGAGCACAAGGCAGAGCCUGGAUCCUGCUGAGAGCUCUGUAAGAGACAAAAGUUGUCAGCUGGGCGUGGUGGUGCACGCCUGUAAUUCCAGCGCUUGGGCGGCUGAGGCAGGAGGAUCACUUCAAGUGAGUUCUCUGUCUCCAAAAAAAAAAGAAAAGAAAAGAAAAAGAAAGUAUGGAGAUAUGUGUGGAACACAGAAGAAACUCUGAAGGAUACAUUCCAUAGAGACUGCAGUUGUUGCUCUCUUGUCUCUUUUCCCUUCCUUUUGGUAACAGGAAACUGACUUCUAGGACGAUGGCUGUGUGCUCAGCUAAAGCCACCUGUCCCAGCUUCUCUCACAGCUGGGUGUAGCCAUGAGACUAAAUUUUGGCCAAGGAAGUAUAAACAAAGCGUGAUGGCUGAAAUCCAGCUUCCCCAGAGUUCACAGAGGAAGCGCUCACCUCGUGCUCAGAGUGUGGCCCUAACGGAAAGAGGGUCCCUGAGGACAUUAACCGAGGGGAUGGGGGACUCACAUCCCACAUGAAUAAUGGCCUAAUGAAAAGGGGAAAUUAAGACGCGCACGCGCACGGAGAGCGCUGCGUGAAGAUGGGGCAGAGACCAGCAGCUACUUCUACAAAUCCAGGGACCUCAAAGGCUGUCGCAGAAGUCAGGAGAGGCAGCAGUGCUCAGAAGGCACCAAUCCUGGGUUGCCAGCCUCCAGACUGAGAGAAGGGCGACAGUUUCUGUCAUGUAAGCCGAUCGGGUGCGGCACUUUGUUACCGCAGCCCUAGAAAACGAAUGCAGACAGAUAACGUUCUUCUUCAACCAGCAGACGGAGACCGGUAUCGCAAAUGGCAGACAGAGUGCAAGGAGGAACCCGGGACCCCAAAAACCUCAGGGAGCUGUCACAUUACUCUUGCACUGCCUACCCCGGGGC